rnacentral:rRNA from 1 species
GACGAACGCCGUCGGCGUGCUUAACACAUGCAAGUCGAACGAUGAUGCCCAGCUUGCUGGGUGGAUUAGUGGCGAACGGGUGAGUAACACGUGAGUAACCUGCCCCUGACUCUGGGAUAAGCGUUGGAAACGACGUCUAAUACUGGAUAUGAUCACUGGCCGCAUGGUCUGGUGGUGGAAAGAUUUUUUGGUUGGGGAUGGACUCGCGGCCUAUCAGCUUGCUGGUGAGGUAACGGCUCACCAAGGCGACGACGGGUAGCCGGCCUGAGAGGGUGACCGGCCACACUGGGACUGAGACACGGCCCAGACUCCUACGGGAGGCAGCAGUGGGGAAUAUUGCACAAUGGGCGAAAGCCUGAUGCAGCAACGCCGCGUGAGGGAUGACGGCCUUCGGGUUGUAAACCUCUUUUAGUAGGGAAGAAGCGAAAGUGACGGUACCUGCAGAAAAAGCACCGGCUAACUACGUGCCAGCAGCCGCGGUAAUACGUAGGGUGCAAGCGUUGUCCGGAAUUAUUGGGCGUAAAGAGCUCGUAGGCGGUUUGUCGCGUCUGCUGUGAAAUCCCGAGGCUCAACCUCGGGCUUGCAGUGGGUACGGGCAGACUAGAGUGCGGUAGGGGAGAUUGGAAUUCCUGGUGUAGCGGUGGAAUGCGCAGAUAUCAGGAGGAACACCGAUGGCGAAGGCAGAUCUCUGGGCCGUAACUGACGCUGAGGAGCGAAAGCAUGGGGAGCGAACAGGAUUAGAUACCCUGGUAGUCCAUGCCGUAAACGUUGGGCGCUAGAUGUAGGGACCUUUCCACGGUUUCUGUGUCGUAGCUAACGCAUUAAGCGCCCCGCCUGGGGAGUACGGCCGCAAGGCUAAAACUCAAAGGAAUUGACGGGGGCCCGCACAAGCGGCGGAGCAUGCGGAUUAAUUCGAUGCAACGCGAAGAACCUUACCAAGGCUUGACAUACACCGGAAACGGCCAGAGAUGGUCGCCCCCUUGUGGUCGGUGUACAGGUGGUGCAUGGUUGUCGUCAGCUCGUGUCGUGAGAUGUUGGGUUAAGUCCCGCAACGAGCGCAACCCUCGUUCUAUGUUGCCAGCGGGUUAUGCCGGGGACUCAUAGGAGACUGCCGGGGUCAACUCGGAGGAAGGUGGGGAUGACGUCAAAUCAUCAUGCCCCUUAUGUCUUGGGCUUCACGCAUGCUACAAUGGCCGGUACAAAGGGCUGCGAUACCGUAAGGUGGAGCGAAUCCCAAAAAGCCGGUCUCAGUUCGGAUUGAGGUCUGCAACUCGACCUCAUGAAGUCGGAGUCGCUAGUAAUCGCAGAUCAGCAACGCUGCGGUGAAUACGUUCCCGGGCCU